AACGUAGGAGACAAACGUUAUCCGGAGUUACUGGGCGUAAAGGGCGUGCAGGCGGUCGACUAAGUCUGGCGUGAAAGCUCUCGGCUAAACCGGGAGAGGUCGUUGGAUACUGGUUGACUAGAGGACGGUAGAGGCGUGUGGAAUUCCGGGUGUAGUGGUGAAAUGCGUAGAGAUCCGGAGGAACACCAAUGGCGAAGGCGACACGCUGGGCCGUACCUGACGCUGAUACGCGACAGCAUGGGGAGCGAACGGG
rnacentral:rRNA from 1 species